AGAGUUUGAUCCUGGCUCAGAAUCAACGCUGGCGGCGUGCCUAACACAUGCAAGUCGAACGAGAAAGGGUAGCAAUACCUGAGUAAAGUGGCGCACGGGUGAGUAACACGUGACUAACCUACCCUGGAGUGGGGGAUAACUGGGAGAAAUCCUGGCUAAUACCGCAUAACACCUACGGGUCAAAGGAGCAAUUCGCUUCAGGAGGGGGUCGCGGUCGAUUAGUUAGUUGGCGGGGUAAUGGCCCACCAAGACUGUGAUCGAUAUCCGGCCUGAGAGGGCGCACGGACACACUGGAACUGAAACACGGUCCAGACUCCUACGGGAGGCAGCAGUGGGGAAUUUUGCGCAAGGGGGGAAACCCUGACGCAGCAACGCCGCGUGGAGGAUGAAGUACUUCGGUACGUAAACUCCUUUCGAUCGGGACGAUAAUGACGGUACCGGAAGAAGAAGCCCCGGCUAACUUCGUGCCAGCAGCCGCGGUAAUACGAGGGUGGCAAGCGUUGUUCGGAAUUAUUGGGCGUAAAGGGUGCGUAGGCGGUUUGGUAAGUCUUUUGUGAAAUCUACAGGCUCAACUUGUAGACUGCAAGGGAAACUGCCGGGCUUGAGUAUGGGAGAGGUGAGUGGAAUUCCUGGUGUAGCGGUGAAAUGCGUAGAUAUCAGGAGGAACACCUGUGGCGAAAGCGGCUCACUGGACCAUAACUGACGCUGAUGCACGAAAGCUAGGGGAGCAAACAGGAUUAGAUACCCUGGUAGUCCUAGCCCUAAACGAUGACUGCUUGGUGUGGCGGGUACCCAAUCCCGCCGUGCCGUAGCUAACGCGUUAAGC
rnacentral:rRNA from 1 species